rnacentral:rRNA from 1 species
GAUGAACGCUGGCGGCGUGCCUAAUACAUGCAAGUCGAGCGAACAGACGAGGAGCUUGCUCCUCUGACGUUAGCGGCGGACGGGUGAGUAACACGUGGAUAACCUACCUAUAAGACUGGGAUAACUUCGGGAAACCGGAGCUAAUACCGGAUAAUAUAUUGAACCGCAUGGUUCAAUAGUGAAAGACGGUUUUGCUGUCACUUAUUGAUGGAUCCGCACCGCAUUAGCUAGUUGGUAAGGUAACGGCUUACCAAGGCAACGAUGCGUAGCCGGCCUGAGAGGGUGAUCGGCCACACUGGAACUGAGACACGGUCCAGACUCCUACGGGAGGCAGCAGUAGGGAAUCUUCCGCAAUGGGCGAAAGCCUGACGGAGCAACGCCGCGUGAGUGAUGAAGGUCUUCGGAUCGUAAAACUCUGUUAUUAGGGAAGAACAAAUGUGUAAGUAACUAUGCACGUCUUGACGGUACCUAAUCAGAAAGCCACGGCUAACUACGUGCCAGCCGCCGCCGUAA